GACAAACGCUGGCGGCGUGUAUUAGGCAUGCAAGUCGCACGGACCUUCGGGUCAGUGGCGGACGGGUGAGUAACACGUGAGUAACCUGCCUCGCAGUGGGGAACAACUCGCCGAAAGGCGAGCUAAUACCGCAUACCACUCCCGGUGAGAAUCCGGGCAGUAAAAGUAGUAAUGCGCUGUGAGAGGGGCCCGCGGCCGAUUAGCUUGUUGGUGGGGUAAUGGCCUACCAAGGCGACGAUCGGUAGCUGGUCUGAGAGGAUGGUCAGCCACACGGGGACUGAGAUACGGCCCCGACUCCUACGGGAGGCAGCAGCUAAGAAUCUUGCGCAAUGGGCGAAAGCCUGACGCAGCAACGCCGCGUGGAGGACGAAGGCCCUCGGGUCGUAAACUCCUUUUGUGAGGGAAGAAGAUCUGACGGUACCUCACGAAUAAGCCACGGCUAACUACGUGCCAGCCGCCGCGGUAAU
rnacentral:rRNA from 1 species